GUGAGAGGAGGAGAAGAACAAUAAGGUGGGAGGAGAAGAAGAACAAUAAGGUGGGAGGAGAAGAAGAAUAAUAAGGUGGGAGGAGAAGAAGAAUAAUAAGGUGGGAGGUGAAGAAGAAUAAUACGGUGGGAGGAGAAGAAGAAUAAUAAGGUGGGAGGAGAAGAAGAAUAAUAAGUUGAGAGGAGGAGAAGAAUAAGGUGGGAGAAGAAGAAGAAUAAGGUGGGAGGAGAAGAAGAAUAAUAAGGUGGGAGGAGAAGAAGAAUAAUAAGGUGGGAGGAGGAGAAGAAGAACAAGGUGGGAGGAGGAGGAGAAGAACAAGGUGG